UAGGGAAUCUUCCGCAAUGGGCGAAAGCCUGACGGAGCAACGCCGCGUGAGUGAAGAAGGAUUUCGGUUCGUAAAGCUCUGUUGUUAGGGAAGAAUGAUUGUGUAGUAACUAUACACAGUAGAGACGGUACCUAACCAGAAAGCCACGGCUAACUACGUGCCAGCAGCCGCGGUAAUACGUAGGUGGCAAGCGUUGUCCGGAAUUAUUGGGCGUAAAGCGCGCGCAGGUGGUUUAAUAAGUCUGAUGUGAAAGCCCACGGCUCAACCGUGGAGGGUCAUUGGAAACUGUUAAACUUGAGUGCAGGAGAGAAAAGUGGAAUUCCUAGUGUAGCGGUGAAAUGCGUAGAGAUUAGGAGGAACACCAGCGGCGAAGGCGGCUUUUUGGCCUGUAACUGACACUGAGGCGCGAAAGCGUGGGGGAGCAAACAGGAUUAGAUACCCUGGUAGUCCACGCCGUAAACGAUGAGUGCUAAAGUGUUGGUCUCAUAAGAGAUCAGUGCUGCAGCUACGCAUUAAGCACUCCGCCUGGGGAGUACGACCGCAAGGUUG
rnacentral:rRNA from 1 species